GUUUGUACGGAAGUGCUUGAAUCCAGCGUGGGAAUGAAACAGUGGGAAGCAGCCGCCAAUCAGUUGUGUUCCUCCUGUGCAACCUAUUUGGAAGCUCCUGUCAAUGGUCAUUGCUUGUGUUAUCCAUGCAUGUGGAAAUGUAAAGACUGUGACAAUUCAUAUUCAAGAAGAUCUGAACUUCUGAAACACUAUAAACUUGAUCAUUGGCAUUAUGGGCAGAGCCAUGCUUACCCCUGUACUUAUGAGAAUUGCCCAUGCACGUGCAAGACAUGGAAAGCUGUAUUGACCCAUCUAAGCAAAUCCCAUCCUGCUCAAAUCAUCCAAAACCUCCUGAGGCAGUAUUUAUGAUGAUAAUAUGGCCACAGUGUAGUAUUGUUGUGAUUCCUAAUGUUUUGUGAUAAAUUAACAGUUGCUAUUAGAUACUCUCAUAUUGUCUUACUUUGAUUUGACUGCUGUUAUCAAUUUAUGGAACAUAAAUAUGCAUGUGUUCUAAAGGAAUGUGUUCUGAGUAAUAUUUUUUACAAAAUCCUUAAAGUAAAGCUGAAAGUCUACACUUAAAUCACAUCUUGAUUGUUUCAUUUCAAAUCCAUUGUGGUGGCGUA